AUUGAACGCUGGCGGCAGGCCUAACACAUGCAAGUCGAGCGGAUGAAGGGAGCUUGCUCCUGGAUUCAGCGGCGGACGGGUGAGUAAUGCCUAGGAAUCUGCCUGGUAGUGGGGGAUAACGUCCGGAAACGGGCGCUAAUACCGCAUACGUCCUGAGGGAGAAAGUGGGGGAUCUUCGGACCUCGCGCUAUCAGAUGAGCCUAGGUCGGAUUAGCUAGUUGGUGGGGUAAAGGCCUACCAAGGCGACGAUCCGUAACUGGUCUGAGAGGAUGAUCAGUCACACUGGAACUGAGACACGGUCCAGACUCCUACGGGAGGCAGCAGUGGGGAAUAUUGGACAAUGGGCGAAAGCCUGGUCCAGCCAUGCCGCGUGUGUGAAGAAGGUCUUCGGAUUGUAAAGCACUUUAAGUUGGGAGGAAGGGCAGUAAGUUAAUACCUUGCUGUUUUGACGUUACCAACAGAAUAAGCACCGGCUAACUUCGUG
rnacentral:rRNA from 1 species